UUGAAGUUACUAAGUAUCAACCACCAUCUGUGAUUUUGAACGACAGGCUUCAAAACAGCGUAAGGACUGUUCAGUAAGGAAGUUAUGUGCAGUUGUUGCACGAAUAUAUUUACAGCUGCCACUCCAUCCUGUGAGAGAUGCAUCGCCCACAUUCUCUGUUCACUUAUUAACGGUCUCCAGAUUUCGGGAAUGCAGAUGUUGCUCUUUUGUGUGCUUCGUUUCCGCACUGUCAUUAUUUCCGUUUCCACUCCGUGGAAAGUUAUGCCGAUUUGCGAAAAGUAGCUGUCUCAUAUCGGAGAGUAGGAAGCAUCUCUGUGAACUUUAUUCGGGAACAGAAGAGUUUCAUCGGCGUGAUCAUGGGGGACAUCGAGGAUCCGGAGAAUGACCGACCACGACAGACCAUAGCCCGUUCUCUUCUCCCGAGUAAAGAAUUCAUCACCUCCCGAAAAGGACUGCUGCUGCUCGGUGAAGUGGUGAUGUCAUUCAUCAGCUUUGUGUGCUUUGGUGCUUCAACAGCAGCUGCCUUCAUUACAGCUCCAUUAAUAGAGUUCUUGGCUGCCCUCUUCUUGCUGUUUGCUUAUUCUACAAAGUUCAAUGAGAGAUUUAAGGGCUUUCACUGGCCCCUCAUGGACUUCCUGCGCUGUGUCAGCGCUUCCAUCAUCUUUUUCAUCAUCUCUAUAAUGUCUGUGUCAAAAUAUGUGGAUGGAGCCUCAAAGGCCGCUGGGGUCUUUGGCUUCAUUACCACAAUAUUCUUCGCCCUGGACUUUUAUUUCAUCUUUAAUGAACUGGCCAACUUCCUCAAGGGAGGUGAUUCCAGUGAGGAACCGCCAAACACACAAGAUGAUGACUCAGACUCUGACUCUGACUAAAGCUGUGAUUGUGUCCGAAAACCUGGUGUGUGACCACUACAGAACCUGAUAACCAAAACAGACUUUGUUCAGUUUUUACACUAUGUACGAGACUUCUCCAUACUUGGGAGCCGUGUGUGAGUAUGUGUUUACUAAUUUGAACUAUUCUGAGAGAAUAUUUUCUCAAAAUAUGUUCUUUUAAAUUGUCUUUUAAAAAAUGAUGCAUGAAAAGCCCUGUUUUGGGAAUAAUGAUUUUAAUGUUUUGUAGCAACAAAAUAAGUUUACAUCAUGUAUGAAAUUAGCAGGUGGCUGGCUGGCCACAGUCACCUGUUUUAUUUCCACAGGUCUAGACAUUGGUGUUAGUCUUGUAAUGUUGAAGUUAUAACAAUGUCUUGCCAAAGUACUGCAAAAAAGGCAGGAUUUGUCUUAUCAUGCUCACUUAGUGAUGUACUAUUCUUACAGUGGCACUGCUCUGCUAUUGAAAUUGUAUUAUAAACGUGAGCUUCAGUAGUGCAUAAGGGAGCGUUUUCUGGUUUACUAUAGUAUUUUCUGCCAUGUUGCGUGUAUCCCAUAUGUAAACCACCUUCUAGUAUUUCUGUGAAGAGUGGAUAUGCUUUAAGGACUCUUGGAAACAUUCACUAUCAGACUGCCACAUCAAUAAA